AUCAAUACUUUCAAAUCAAGAAUAUUAGAGUGAGUUGCCAUCUUGUCUCGUUACAACAUUCUUAGAAGUCCGUUGGUUUUGAAGCAAGUAUAGCCGAGGAGGUUGAUAUGCAUAACACAGUAAAGCAUUCUGGAUUGGGUUGGGGUUUUAAAAAUGAUAACGCAUUUGUUUUGAGUUCCCAAAUAUCGAGCCUUGUCUCACCGUCUUAAGAGCCCAUGGACUCCCGUAUAAGUGUGAAUUCAUCUUCCCAAGAGCCGACCAAGAACAUCCACUAAAUGUUCGGCUUGGCUAGAUUAAUUUUGAUGAAUAGAUUUGAAGAUAUUACUAUUACCUUCUUUUUGGGAGAGGGAGGGAAAUGAGCCUUGUGUUCCCCCUCCAUUUUCCUCACGGAUCAAUGUACAAAGCUGCUGAAGUUCAGCUUAAUUCCCACCUAAGCCAAGACGUAAUUUUGAAUUCAACUAGUUCCUCCAGCUACAAAACCAGCUCCCAGAAUUUCCUUCACUACCUCUCCCUUUUUCUUCUUGUUAUCAAGAAAAAAAAAUAUUGAUAUGCUAGCUCAACAUAGAAACUAAAAUAACAGAUUACAUAACAGGACCUCGCCUCUUUGCACAAAACUUGCCAGCAGGAUUAUGACUUGAACAUCAUGCCUCUCAUUCAGCAUGAUGAAUCAAGUAUGGCUCUUGAUGAAUCCAAACAGAAUCGUAAAGCAAGAUUCCUUCGCAUGAGCACUAUUACGAUUGACUGACGCAGGAAUUACUACUACAGUCAGCACUCUAUCCGUAACCUCCGCAUUUCAGCUCUGAAGGAAGGGCUUGAAUUUAAAGUUCGGCGAGCAAGACUUCUUAUGUCCUCUCGAGAACAGUCCCGUGAGAUACGAACUAGCUCCCACAGUGCACCUCCGCUAACCAUGUCCUUUGCAUUUACUUCUGAAAUUUAUGAAAACCUGGUGUUUCAAGGGACGCGUCCAAAAGAAUUUUUCUCAACAGAACAGGAGGAUGCUGCACUUACCAUGCUGUGCCAAGUGGCACAGGGCAAGCUCACUGUGGCGUCUGAUUGGUGCAGCUUCGUUAUUAGCAUUCUGUACAAUCCAUGGAAGAGCACCAUCCACAAUCAGAAGAGACUUUCCAUUCUUAGUU
rnacentral:misc_RNA from 1 species